GACGAACGCUUGCGGCGUGCCUAAGAAAUGCAAGUCGAGCGAGGUUUAGGCUUCGGCCGACGACCUAGCGGCGAACGGUCGCGUAACACGUAAGCAACCUGCCCUAAAGUUGGGGAUAGCCCGCCGAAAGGCGGAUUAAUACCGAAUGUGGAUAUGUAUUCGCAUGUAUAUAUAUCUGAAGCAGCGAUGCGCUUUAGGAUGGGCUUGCGGCCUAUCAGUUAGUUGGUGUGGGUAAACGGCCUACCAAGACGACGACGGGUAGCUGGUCUGAGAGGAUGGUCAGCCGGAUUGGGACUGAGACACGGCCCAGACUCCUACGGGGGCAGCAAUUAGGAAUCUUGCGCAAUGGGCGAAAGCCUGACGCAGCGACGCCGCGUGACUGAUGAAGUCUUUCGAGAUGUAAAGGUCUUUUGUUGGGGACGAAGGAAGUGACGGUACCCGACGAAUAAGCCCCGGCUAACUACGUG
rnacentral:rRNA from 1 species